rnacentral:lncRNA from 1 species
GUCAGUUUUGGGAAAAGGAAAAGUAAGUCUGAUCUCCUUGAUAGUUCCAAUAUACAGAGUAUAUACAAAUAUACUUACCUGGGUCGGACCGGGUCAGGUGAGUAUAUUAAAUUGGGCUCAGAAAAUGACUGGGCUCAUAUUCAACAUCACAGCCCACAUCAGCACCACAGACCAAUACAGCCAUCAGCCCAAUACAUCAUUGCCCUAUACUCCUAUACUAUAUACACUUUAUAUACAUCACAUAUACAAAAUAAAUUGUACAACUACUCAAAUGUCUAAGUAAUGUCAACACCCCCCCUCAAGUUGGAGGGGGACACCACCUUCAACUUGGACAGCAAAGGAUGAAGAGCAGUCCCAGUAAUGGGCUUUG